GGAUGACAUCAUAAGACGAGAAGACCCUAUGGAGCUUUAGACACCGGAAUAAAUCAUGUUAAGCAACCCCUAACAUGGGGCGAAACAAAUGAAAAUUAUUCCAUGUCUUUGGUUGGGGCGACCGCGGGGAAAUAAAAAACCCCCACGUGGAUUGGGGCUACACUGCCCCACAACUGAGAGCUCCUGCUCUAGCUAACAGAACAUCUGACCAAUUAAGAUCCGGCAACGCCGAUCAACGGACCGAGUUACCCUAGGGAUAACAGCGCAAUCCCCUUUUAGAGCCCAUAUCGACAAGG
rnacentral:rRNA from 1 species